AGGGCACCACCAGGAGUGGAGCCUGCGGCUUAAUUUGACUCAACACGGGAAAACUUACCCGGCCCGGACAAUGGGAGGAUUGACAGAUUGAGAGCUCUUUCUUGAUUCGGUGGGUGGUGGUGCAUGGCCGUUCUUAGUUGGUGGAGCGAUUUGUCUGGUUAAUUCCGAUAACGAACGAGACUCUGGCCUGCUAAAUAGCCAACUGAUCCCUUUGGUCGGCUGUUAAAAAUGCUCCUUAGAGGGACAGGCGGCUUCCCGCCCCACGAGAUUGAGCAAUAACAGGUGUUGUGAUGCCCUUUGAUGUCCGGGGCCCCACGCGCUACUACACUGAAAUCAUCAACGUGCUUUUUACCUUGGCCGGAAGGCCUGGGGAAUCCGAUGAAACUCCUUCGUGAUUGGGAUUGAGCUUUGUUCUAUCGCUCAUGAACGAGGAAUUCCCAGUAAGCGCGAGUCAUAGCGCUCGAUUACGAUUACUGCCCUGCCCUUUGCACACACCGCCCUACUACCACUACGAGAUUG
rnacentral:rRNA from 1 species